rnacentral:rRNA from 1 species
GUAAGGAAUAUUGGUCAAUGGGGGCAACCCUGAACCAGCCAUGCCGCGUGAAGGAUGAAGGCGUUAUGCGUUGUAAACUUCUUUUGUAUGGGAAGAAUGACAGGGAUUCAUCCUUGGAGAGACGGUACCAUACGAAUAAGCACCGGCUAACUCCGUGCCAGCAGCCGCGGUAAUACGGAGGGUGCAAGCGUUAUCCGGAAUCACUGGGUUGAAAGGGUACGUAGGCGGUUAAUUAAGUCAGUAGUGAAAGACUGUCGCUCAACGACGGAUGUGCUAUUGAUACUGGUUAACUUGAAUCAGGUUAGAGUUGGCGGAAUGGGUCAUGUAGCGGUGAAAUGCUUAGAUAUGACUUGGAACACCGAUAGCGAAGGCAGCUGACUGAGCAUUGAUUGACGCUGGGGUACGAAAGUGUGGGUAGCGAACAGGAUUAGAUACCCGUGUAGUCC